AAAUAGAAAGCGAAUAAUUGCAAUCAGUUUCGACCUGAUCACCUUGGUGUUAAAUCACCUCUAUUUG
rnacentral:tRNA from 1 species